UGAACGCUGGCGGCGUGCUUAACACAUGCAAGUCGUACGAGAACGCUUCAGCUUGCUGAAGCUAGUAAAGUGGCGUACGGGUGAGUAACGCGUGGGUAAUCUACCUCUAAAUUUGGAAUAACAUUGCGAAAGCGAUGCUAAUACCGGAUAAUAUCUAUAUAUCUUAGGGUAUUUAGAUCAAAGGCGGCCUCUUCUUGAAAGCUGCCGUUUAGAGAUGAGCCCGCGUACCAUUAGCUUGUUGGUAGGGUAAUGGCCUACCAAGGCGACGAUGGUUAGCUGGUCUGAGAGGAUGAUCAGCCACACUGGAACUGACACACGGUCCAGACUCCUACGGGAGGCAGCAGUGAGGAAUUUUGCGCAAUGGGGGAAACCCUGACGCAGCAACGCCGCGUGAGUGAUGAAGGCUUUCGGGUCGUAAAGCUCUGUCAAGUGGGAAGAAUCUACAUUUGGUUAAUACCCAAUUGUACUGACGGUACCACUGAAGGAAGCACCGGCUAACUCC
rnacentral:rRNA from 1 species